rnacentral:tRNA from 1 species
GGUUUCACAGCGUAGUGGUAAUCACGUCUGCUUUACACACAGAAGGUUCUGGGUUCAAUUCCUAGUGAUACCU